GACGAACGCUGGCGGCGUGCUUAACACAUGCAAGUCGUACGGUAAGGCCCUUUCGGGGGUACACGAGUGGCGAACGGGUGAGUAACACGUGAGUAACCUGCCCACAACUUUGGGAUAACGCUAGGAAACUGGUGCUAAUACUGGAUAUGUGCUCCUGCUGCAUGGUGGGGGUUGGAAAGCUCCGGCGGUUGUGGAUGGACUCGCGGCCUAUCAGCUUGUUGGUGGGGUAGUGGCCUACCAAGGCGGCGACGGGUAGCCGGCCUGAGAGGGUGACCGGCCACAUUGGGACUGAGAUACGGCCCAGACUCCUACGGGAGGCAGCAGUGGGGAAUAUUGCACAAUGGGCGCAAGCCUGAUGCAGCAACGCCGCGUGCGGGAUGACGGCCUUCGGGUUGUAAACCGCUUUCAACAGGGACGAAGCUUUUUGUGACGGUACCUGCAGAAGAAGCACCGGCUAACUACGUG
rnacentral:rRNA from 1 species